AUCAACCGAGACUCCCAAGUAGUGGCGAGCGAACGCGGAUUAGCCCAAACUCUGAUCGUUACGGCGGUUGGAGGGUUGUAGGACUACAAUGUGGACUCUAUUACGAAUUAGAAUGAUUUGGGAAAAUCAACCAUAGAAGGUGAAAGUCCUGUAUGAGUAAAGUAAUAGUACCUAGUAGUAUCCUGAGUAAGGCGGGACCGGAGAAAUCCCGUCUGAAUCUACCGGCACCAUCCGGUAAGGCUAAAUACUCCUGAGAGACCGAUAGUGAACUA
rnacentral:rRNA from 16 species